GAUGAAGAACGUAGCGAAAUGCGAUACUUGGUGUGAAUUGCAGAAUCCCGUGAACCAUCGAGUCUUUGAACGCAAGUUGCGCCCGAGGCCGUCAGGCCGAGGGCACGCCUGCCUGGGCGUCACACGCCGUUGCCCCCCCCGCGCCCCGCACCCAACUCUUUGGGAGCGACCGCGGGGCGGGCUGAUGAUGGCCUCCCGUGCGCUCCGCCGCGCGGUUGGCCCAAAUACCGAGUCCCCGGCGACGUGCGCCACGACGAUCGGUGGUUGAGAGACCUCUGUCGCAAGUCGUGCGCGCCCGUCGCGUCACGCGGGCUCGCAUAGCGCCUCGCGCCGCACCCGGUGCGGAGCUUUCAACGCGACCCCAGGUCAGGCGGGGUUACCCGCUGAAUUUAAGCAUAUCAAUAAGCGGAGGA
rnacentral:misc_RNA from 1 species